GGCUUACACCCAUUGAAAAAUGGUUUAACACUGAACUGAAGGAUUAUGCCAAGGGACUCCCGACACUAUAACCAACUUAAAUGAGAUGAAACAGUUACAUUGCCUACACCGUCAUGUGUUUCUUAAAGGAACACUAUAGGCACUAUGGCAACUUUGCCUUGUUGAAGUUGUUAUAGUGCCUUUAGUCCUACCCUCCUGUGUCCUAACCACAAAAUGUAAUAUUUUAA